rnacentral:lncRNA from 1 species
CCUCAUCCAGCAACUGGUAGAACACCCACAACUAAUCACUGAACUGAAAUGGAAUCCAGAUGCAGAGAAGGACGAGGAAAAGCAAAGGGGUCCAGACCAGUUUUGCAUGAAGCAGCCUGGAAGUUUGCAGCUCAUCCUCACCCAGACACCCUGGUGAACCAACUAGAAACCUGACAGUUCUCCUAGGCUGUGCAAGAAAGGUGAGCACACACAGGAGGAAAUGCAUAGAGAGACUGGAGUUCAGGAUGAAGUCAGCAGGUCACAGGCACCCUGGGACCUUGUCACACUUGCCUGACCCUGACCCCGCCGGCACAAGAGGGUCUGGUUCUGCGGUUCCUUUACUCGCAGCAAUUGAGUCUGGUUCCCAAGAAGACGCCCCACGCAGGACGAGGAGAGCGAGCGGGUUGGAAGGAAUCCACGGCCGGAGGCUCUUGGCCUCAUCUGUCUCCCGCUAUUCAAUAGGGACCUCAGGGACCUCUCCCCAGACACCUGGGGCAAGCCCAGACCCCAGGACCAGGCACCCAGGG